AAAGGCCCUCGCCGGCCCCGGGGCUCGAACCCAGGACCUUCUUGCUGUGAGGCGACAGCGCUAACCACUACACCACCGUGCCGCCCCUUACUGUGCAUAUGACAAUAAAUACUUUGAAACGUUGAAUCUUGAAGAGAAGGCCACCCACCAAAACUCACAGACCAGGCAAGGAGGGCAUUAAUCAGAGAUGCAACAAAGACACCAAAGAUCCACAGCAGAGAUGGGAGGAUCUGUCCAUAGGACCACUUUAAGCCGUACACUCCACAGGGUGGGGCUUUAUGGAAGAGUGGCCAGAAAAAAAGUAAUUGCUUAAGAAAACACAUUUGGAGUUUGCCCAACAGCAUGUGGCAGACUCCCCAAACACAUGGAAGAAGAUUCUUUGGUCAAAUGAGACUAAAAUUGAUCUUUUUGGCCAUCAUGGGAAAUGCCAUUUGUGGCGCAAACCCAACACGCUGAGAACACCAUUCCUACAGUGAAGCAUGGUGGUGGCAGCAUCAUGCUGUGGGGAUGUUUUUCAUCUGCAGGGACAGGAAAGCUGGUCAGGACUGAAGGAAAGAUGGAUGGCACUAAAUACAGGGCAAUUCUGGAGGAGUCGGCCAGAGGUUUGAGACUGGGACAAAGGUUCACGUUCCAGCAGGACAAUGACCCUAAACAUACUGCUAAAGCAACACUCGAAAGAUGGAUGGCACUAAAUACAGGGCAAUUCUGGAGGAGUCGGCCAGAGGUUUGAGACUGGGACAAAGGUUCACGUUCCAGCAGGACAAUGACCCUAAACAUACUGCUAAAGCUACACUGGAGUGGUUUAAAGGGAAAUGUUCAAAUGUCUUGGAAUGGCCGAGUCAAAGCCCAGACUUCAAUCCAAUUGAGAAUCUGUGGCAUAACUUGAAGAUUGCUGUACACCAACACAACCCAUCUAACUUGAAGGAGUUGGAGCAGUUUUGCCUUGAGGAAUGGGCAAAAAUCCCAGGGGCUAGAUGUGCUACAUAGAGACAUACCCCAAGAGACUUGCAGCUGUAAUUGCAGUAAAAGGUGGCUCUACAAAGUAUUGACUUUGGGGGUGAAUACCUAUGCACACUCCAGAUUUCUGUUUUUUCAUCUUAAUUAUUGUUUGUGUCAGAAUAAGACAAUUUUCACCUUUAAAGUUGUAGGCAUGUUGUGUAAAUCAAAUGGUGCUAACCCCCCAAAAAUCCAUUUUAAUUCCAACAUGUAAUGCGCCAAAACAGGGCAAACACAAAGGGGGAUGAAUACUUUUGCAAGACUCUCAGGGAUGUGAUUUUUUUUUCCCGCGAAUUCGCGGAAUUCCGCUUUUUUCACCUCAAAAUAAAAAUAAAAAAUUCCGAUUUUUCGCUCAAAAAUCCGCAUUCAUAUCCUAUUCGUUCCGACUUUCAGUAAUUCCGUCAUUGAGAUGAAACGAGGUACGUGAUUGGCCCAUCGCUCUGUAACAACCAAUGAACGCGCUUGUUAGAUAGCUGUACGUAAGCUCGCUUCAAACGAAGAGUUGAAAGAUGGCAGCCUCCGUGAUCGAGCGUAAAGAUGCACCUGAUCAUCAGUUUGGUGUGCGUUUUUAAAGUAAAUAAACAUGGGGAAGAAGAAAAACAACCCAGCUCAUUCCUUUCCCCAUCAUAAGCCUGUGAGUGGUGAUGGUGCCACUGCACGUGCGACGGAGUGACGAAGGUUGCCGUGGCAACGGGGCCUCGCGCCAUCUGUUGCUUCCUGGAUGCGCAUGCGCACGCUAUGAAAGCUGUGGCGAAAAGGUUAGCAUCGGAGGCUAAACCUUCUGAGGAGAAAAGAAAGGGCGGUUUUUAUUUCAGUUUGUUUUAGUUACGUCCGAAGAAACAGCAGUUUAAAUCACGGCUCUAGUUUACAAAUCAAAAUGGGUACUCAGUGAAAACAAAACAAAAGCUAGAGAGAGGGGGAGCGGUGUAGAGAGAGGGGGAGCGGUGCAGAGAGAGGGGGAGCGGUGGGAGUUUAACCCGGGAAAGUGAGUCUGUGAGGCGGCAGUGAUGCUGGACCCCUCCCCCCUCCUCUCACUUUACCUCAGAGUCUCUGCCAACUUCAUCACAGAUUAUUUCACCUUUUUCACUCGAAGUUAGUUUUAAUUUUCGCUCAAAACUUUUCCCACAGCGUGGAUGUAAGGAAGAGAACUUCCAGUCUACUCCACUGGCACUGCCAUUUUGGAAACCACGUGAUGCGUUGCUGUGUGCUGAUUGAUUGAAAGAGAUGUUUUCCUGUAUCACUGGUGUCCCAGUACUUUGAAAGCCUUUGACUCUGCCGCUGUACGCUGAAUCCUGGUCAUGAAAAUUCUCUUUACCGUCGAUGAUGUCGUACACCGUCUUGGUGUUAUCAUAUUGCCAGAACACAUCCUUUUCAUAGCGACCGGCUGAACACAAGAACACAGAGUCUCCUAGAACAGCUUCAACUGUGGUGAACACACAAUUAUGGAUAUGAACAGAAAGUAAAAGACACCUUUUCAUCACGUUAAAUUGUGAAAUGUAAGUGUUUACCUUUAUGUAUCACAAGCACAAGGGCAAGCAGCUUGCCCUGGGUGGAGCCAGCUUACUGAAAGGGGUGGGCCCUGCUAUCCUCCUAGUGUUUUUCUAGAUUAUGGUACUAAUAUUGUUCUUUCCUAACAGGACAAGAAAAAAAGAGCCGUGAAAAGGACUCUCAGCCCUUCUCUACUGAGGACAUUUCACAAACUUGACCUUAAACAUGCUUACGUGGUAAUAAAAUGUUUUUCAAUAAAACAUCUAACAUGUAGAGUGAA